rnacentral:sRNA from 1 species
GAAAAUGUAUUUCUGUAUUUACGUUGGUGGACAUUGAAGUGCUGUUCAUCCGUUCAUGCAUCGCGUCUUUUUAUUUGUUCACUUUUCAACGGAAUUAUCCACACAGAGCAAAACAAACUUGAAGAUUUUCAAGGCGUGCCACGCAUCACAAACAUUUAUAACCUGAUUUCGCUGUGCUUUCGCAGUACAAAAUAAACAAAGACAGUACCAACUUAAAAGUCGACACUGAUAUUAUUUCACAUCACUUUGGUCUGAGAGGAGUAACAGAUAGUUUCUUUAUCGUUCAGUUUUAAUUAUCUCAUGCACUUUACGUCUUUGGAGAUGUGAAGAAUGGGAUGAAGGUGAACGGCGUGGGAUCGAGUCUCUUCUGACAGCGUGACACAACGUACGCUAACAUCAGCAUUCUUGCACUAACAUCUCUUGAAAACAUCACUCCAUCUAUUAGAUCUGCUGUCAAUGUCAGCCACAUUCGUUCCAUCUUAGUUCCAUCUUAGUACCAUAUGUGUUCCAUCUUAGUACCAUAUGUGUUCCAUCUUAGUACCAUAUGUGUUCCAUCUUAGUUCCAUCACUACCUUAAUGGAUUUGUCUCUCGUUUUGUCAACUCGCGAAGAAACUGUUGGAAAAAACCUUAAAGAGGACCCAAAGAAACACUGAUAAUUACAAAACCAAUAAUCUGAACAUUUCAAGACCCACAGUGAAAUAUGCUAACACAUUUUUCUAAGGCCGUGAAGCGAGUCUUAACCAUAUACUCGUUUCGUUCAGACCUUCUUCCCGCCUUCUGACAACCUUCUUACAGCUUGUAUUAUUAUACUACCAGUCUGUAUUUUAUUUUGGGAGGGUCAUACGGCCAUGGUGAAUGCCUUUUAUGACAACGUUGGAGUAGCCAGCUGUGGAGUCUUUACUCUGAGAUGAACAAUGGGAACUCUUCACAUGGAUAUAAUGACGCAAACAAGACGCUUAUCCAUUUCGGUGUGUAUGAUCUUUAUCUUGAUCUUCUUCUUGACAUGUAACGCUCAAAGAUUGGAUAAUACCAAAAACAUAAGCGGAUUACUUAAUGGAGCGGAUAAUUUUCAGAAAUUUUUCCUGUCACUGGCUCAGACUGUUACUGGUACUGGAAUA